rnacentral:rRNA from 1 species
UACGUAGGGGGCAAGCGUUGUCCGGAAUUAUUGGGCGUAAAGCGCGCGCAGGCGGUCUCUUAAGUCUGAUGUGAAAGCCCACGGCUCAACCGUGGAGGGUCAUUGGAAACUGGGGGACUUGAGUGUAGGAGAGGAAAGUGGAAUUCCACGUGUAGCGGUGAAAUGCGUAGAUAUGUGGAGGAACACCAGUGGCGAAGGCGGCCUGCUGGGCAGUUGCUGACACUGAGGCGCGACAGCGUGGGGAGCAAACAGG